CUGGGAGACAUGGGAACUCUGAGACACUGGGAGACAUGGGGACACUGAGACACCAGGGACACUGGCUGGGAGACAUUAUGUCCCUAGUGUCUCAGUGUCCCUAUGUCUCCAAGUGUCUCCGUGUCCCCAUGUCUCAGUGU